rnacentral:rRNA from 1 species
AGAGUUUGAUCAUGGCUCAGGAUGAACGCUAGCGAUAGGCCUAACACAUGCAAGUCGAGGGGCAGCACAUGAAGUAGCAAUACGGAUGGUGGCGACCGGCGCACGGGUGAGUAACGCGUAUGCAACCUGCCUACAACAGGGGAAUAACCCGUUGAAAGACGGACUAAUACCCCAUAACACAGGGAUCCCGCAUGGGAAUAUUUGUUAAAGAUUUAUCGGUUGUAGAUGGGCAUGCGUUCCAUUAGCUGGUUGGUGAGGUAACGGCUCACCAAGGCAACGAUGGAUAGGGGAACUGAGAGGUUUAUCCCCCACACUGGUACUGAGACACGGACCAGACUCCUACGGGAGGCAGCAGUGAGGAAUAUUGGUCAAUGGACGCAAGUCUGAACCAGCCACGUCGCGUGAAGGAAGACGGCCCUACGGGUUGUAAACUUCUUUUGUAAGGGAACAAAGUGCAGUACGUGUACUGUUUUGCAUGUACCUUACGAAUAAGGAUCGGCUAACUCCGUGCCAGCAGCCGCGGUAAUACGGAGGAUCCGAGCGUUAUCCGGAUUUAUUGGGUUUAAAGGGUGCGCAGGCGGGAGAUUAAGUCGGCGGUGAAAUUUUGCAGCUCAACUGUAAAAGUGCCUUCGAAACUGGUUUCCUUGAGUGUGGAUGAAGUAGGCGGAAUUUGUGGUGUAGCGGUGAAAUGCAUAGAUAUCACGAGGAACUCCGAUUGCGCAGGCAGCUUACUAAACCAUAACUGACGCUCAGGCACGAAGGCGUGGGGAUCAAACAGGAUUAGAUACCCUGGUAGUC